rnacentral:tRNA from 1 species
GGCUAGUUGGUCUAGGGGUAUGAUUCUCGCUUCGGGUGUGAGAGGUUCGGGUUCAAAUCCCGGACGAGCCC